UUUUAUUAAUAUAAAUAGUAUAUUUGAUUUCCAAUCAAAAAGUUUAAAAUUUAAAUAAAAUA
rnacentral:tRNA from 1 species